rnacentral:rRNA from 1 species
GACGAACGCUGGCGGCGUGCUUAACACAUGCAAGUCGAACGGAAAGGCCCUGCUUGCAGGGUACUCGAGUGGCGAACGGGUGAGUAACACGUUGUUGAUCUGCCCUGCACUUCGGGAUAAGCCUGGUAAACUGGGUCUAAUACCGGAUAGGAGCCAUUUUUAGUGUGUUGGUUGGAAAGUUUUUUCGGUGUAGGAUGAGCUCGCGGCCUAUCAGCUUGUUGGUGGGGUAAUGGCCUACCAAGUCGGCGACGGGUAGCCGGCCUGAGAGGGUGGACGGCAAAAGUGGGAAUGAGAAACGGCACAGACACGGACGGGAGGAAGCAGUGGGGAAGAAUGAAAAAUGGGCGAAAGCCUGAUGCAGCGAAGCAGAGGGGGGGAUGAAGGACUUCGGGUUGUAAACAAAUUUCGCUAGGGACGAAGCUUUGUGUGACGGUACAUAGAUAAGAAGCAACGGCUAACUACGUG